UGAGUAACACGUAUGCAACCAACCCAUAACAGGGGGAUAACCCGGAGAAAUCCGGACUAAUACCGCAUAAGACCACGAUAUCGCAUGAUAUAGAGGUCAAAUAGUUUAUAGGUUAUGGACGGGCAUGCGUCUGAUUAGCUGGUGGCGGGUAACGCCCACCAAGGCAUCGAUCAGUAGGGGUUCUGAGAGGAAGGUCCCCCACAUUGGAACUGAGACACGGUCCAAACUCCUACGGGAGGCAGCAGUGAGGACUAUUGGUCAAUGGGCGAAAGCCUGAACCAGCCAUGUCGCGUGAAGGAAUGAAGGUCCUAUGGAUUGUAAACUUCUUUUGCAGGAGGGUAAAGUGAGCUACGUGUAGUUCAUUGCAAGUACCCUGCGAAUAAGCAUCGGCUAACUCCGUGCCAGCCGCAGC
rnacentral:rRNA from 1 species